GGGGCUGUAGCUCAUCUGGGAGAGCGCCUCCAUGGCAUGGAGGAGGUAGCGAGUUCGAUCCUCGUCAGCUCCACCA
rnacentral:tRNA from 1 species